AUUGAACGCUGGCGGCAGGCCUAACACAUGCAAGUCGAGCGGAUGAAGGGAGCUUGCUCCUGGAUUCAGCGGCGGACGGGUGAGUAAUGCCUAGGAAUCUGCCUGGUAGUGGGGGAUAACGUCCGGAAACGGGCGCUAAUACCGCAUACGUCCUGAGGGAGAAAGUGGGGGAUCUUCGGACCUCACGCUAUCAGAUGAGCCUAGGUCGGAUUAGCUAGUUGGUGGGGUAAAGGCCUACCAAGGCGACGAUCCGUAACUGGUCUGAGAGGAUGAUCAGUCACCUGGGAAGUGGGACGGCGUCCAGACAACUACGGGAGGCAGCAGUGGCGAAUGUUGGGCAGUAGGCGGAAACCUGGUCCAGCCGGGCCGAGUCUGAUAAGAAGGCCUUGCGAUCGUAAAGCAGGCCUUCUGGGUGGGAAGCGCAGUAAGUUAAGACGUAGCUGUAUUGACGGUACCGGGUGAAGAAGCACCGGCUAACUACGUG
rnacentral:rRNA from 1 species